AUUGAACGCUGGCGGCAGGCCUAACACAUGCAAGUCGAGCGGAUGAAGGGAGCUUGCUCCUGGAUUCAGCGGCGGACGGGUGAGUAAUGCCUAGGAAUCUGCCUGGUAGUGGGGGAUAACGUCCGGAAACGGGCGCUAAUACCGCAUACGUCCUGAGGGAGAAAGUGGGGGAUCUUCGGACCUCACGCUAUCAGAUGAGCCUAGGUCGGAUUAGCUAGUUGGUGGGGUAAAGGCCUACCAAGGCGACGAUCCGUAACUGGUCUGAGAGGAUGAUCAGUCACACUGGAACUGAGACACGGUCCAGACUCCUACGGGAGGCAGCAGUGGGGAAUAUUGGACAAUGGGCGAAAGCCUGAUCCAGCCAUGCCACGUGUGUGAAGAAGGUCUUCGGAUUGUAAAGCACUUUAAGUUGGGAGGAAGGGCAGUAAGCUAAUACCUUGCUGUUUUGACGUUACCAACAGAAUAAGCACCGGCUAACUUCGUG
rnacentral:rRNA from 1 species